CACGUAGGGUGCGAGCGUUGUCCGGAAUUAUUGGGCGUAAAGGGCUCGUAGGCGGUUUGUCGCGUCGGGAGUGAAAACGCCGUGCUUACACGCGCGUUGCUUUCGAUACGGGCAGACUAGAGGUAUGCAGGGGAGAACGGAAUUCCUGGUGUAGCGGUGAAAUGCGCAGAUAUCAGGAGGAACACCGGUGGCGAAGGCGGUUCUCUGGGCAUUACCUGACGCUGAGGAGCGAAAGUGUGGGGAGCGAACAGG
rnacentral:rRNA from 1 species